UCAAUGUUAAAUAAAUUAUCUGCAACUAUUUAGCAAUAAAUUAAUCUUCAUAAAUCACAAAUCAACAUCAGAGACGACAACCUGCAAAGGCAGUGGCUGGGCGGGGGCCUAGGGAAAAACACUCUCCAAGGUGUUCCAUGAACUACAUUAAAUUAGAAACGAGGCGUCGUCAAGAUUCCGUAUAAUGACAAAAGCAAUUAAUUUUGUGUGUGCCCGGGCGAAUCGUACGGAAUGGAACGGAACGGAGCGGAGCGGAAAGCAAACACCCAUGCCUCUCUCCCCGUGUCCUUCUUUGGACACACAACACACAAUCAAAAUUCCACAGGAGAGGAGGUCGUGGGCUCCUCCCAGGGAGGGGAGCUCGAGCUCCCAUUCGAAAGCUUUGCAAUUAAUUAUGCGAAUCUGACGAAUCUUCCUAAGCGUCGAGAGCAACUCUUCGACUUGACACACACACACACACCACACACACUCGCACCCAUAGACAGGCACACACAAACCCUCAGAGAUACAGGAAAACACACACAGCCACAGACACCUAGAGAACAAAUUCUGUUUCCUGUCAACCGCCUGGCAUCAUGAUUUACAUGGCCUUACAAAAUGUUUCGGAAAGCAGGAGAGCGAGGGAAACGAGACGUCUACGCCUGUGGUUCGUCCUGGACCGAGGACGAGGGGUAAAUGCAAAUUUAAAGGCGUGAAUAAGCCAAAGGCAAACUCCUGAACUCUAAUUGUAGACAACCCCCGUAAUUAUCCGCAAUGGAAAAGCCAUUAAUGGUAUUAGCUGAUUGCCGAACAGCAUCCUUCCACUGAUUAUAACAACUUGAUUUUUCGUUUGUGAGAGUCACUCCCUCCCUUUUCUGGGUGGGUGCUCGGUGCUCAUCAAGUCAACUCCCAGCACUUGUUCAAAAAUAAUAACUAAUCAUAAUAGCAGUUGGGAAAAAAGAAUCUUUGCAAUCAUUUCAUGGGAAUUUCUCGACUGCAACUCCAUUUUUACGACACGUGACUGGGCACGCACUUUGAUUAGACCCCGGAACCACCACACCUCCCCACCGUAACCCUCAUAACUGCACCACCAGCCCACCAGCAGCAGCACCAGUAAUCCACCCACCACCAGCCCGCGAGCAGCAGAAGCACCCACCAAUAUCGGAUUGCAGAUUAUACAAACUGAAACCCGACUUUUCGACAGAGAGAGCGAGAGAGAGACCAGGUCCUGUCCACUUGACGCGUGCGGAUUGUGGGAAACGGCUUGGCGAGUGUCACAUUUUUAUGACUCUGUUUGAUUUCUGGCCGGCACAAGGCCGCUAAUGGAAGGCACUUGUUCAGCCCGACGAAAGUAACGAGAUUUCCUUUAACGGGAUACAGAUAUAUGACAAAUAUUUGCUGGAGAAAUACAUGGGCACAAGGACAAGUGCACUGUCAUCCCAUAGCAUACUGUGGGAAGAUUAAUUUUUGGGCUCAUACCCGUAGAAGAGUUGGGAUAGUGGGGAGGUUUUUCAAAUUGAUAAUAGUUUCAUGCAAAAUGCAAAAUUAUGUCAAGUAAAAAAGGAUUUGAUCUUCGCAGAGUCAGCCUCAGACUCUCGAAAGCAUUGAGCUUCUAGAUCCUUGUACAGAAAGGAUAAUAGAUGGGAAAAGGAGAGUUUCAGUUCAAGUUCAUCUCUGAGAUGAUCGUAUGGUUUGCGACCAGUUCUAUAUACAAAUACUCAUCAAAUUUACUUAUCGAGGUUGUCUUUUCUAUGAAGCUAAAAUAAACCAUUAUAUUGAAGUCAUGGAUUA